AGAGUCAUACGUCGAAGGGCAAGCCCUCCACAAUGGCCUCGAGUCAUGCGCCAAUGUUCGCGAGGGCGAAGGUGAAGCGUGGACAGGGGUACCUGCUGGAUGGAUAUGGAGCCUUCAAAGACCCUCCCUUCAGGGUGCCGACCCGGUAGGAGAAUGGGGAAGGCCGCAAACGAGGCGAUAGUGGUCCCUCCACGAGCA
rnacentral:ncRNA from 1 species